UCCGGUUUGUUUCCGGCGGUCUCCCUAGAUUUGCAACUAAGGACAAGGGUUGCGCUCGUUGCGGGACUUAACCCAACAUCUCACGACACGAGCUGACGACAGCCAUGCAGCAUCUGUGCACCUGUCCGAAGAGGCUGCUCUUUCAAGCAGUUGCAGGUGUAUGUCAAGCCUUGGUAAGGUUCUUCGCGUCGCAUCGAAUUAAACCACACGCUCCGCUGCUUGUGCGGGUCCCCGUCAAUUCCUUUGAGUUUUAGUCUUGCGACCGUACUCCCCAGGCGGGCCACUUAAUGCGUUAGCUUCGGCACGGAAGGGGUCAACACCCCCCACACCUAGUGGCCAUCGUUUACUGCUAGGACUAC
rnacentral:misc_RNA from 1 species